UACGUAGGGUGCGAGCGUUAAUCGGAACUACUGGGCGUAAAGCGUGCGCAGGCGGUGAUGUAAGACAGAUGUGAAAUCCCCGGGCUCAACCUGGGAACUGCAUUUGUGACUGCAUCGCUGGAGUACGGCAGAGGGGGAUGGAAUUCCGCGUGUAGCAGUGAAAUGCGUAGAUAUGCGGAGGAACGCCGAUGGCGAAGGCAAUCCCCUGGGCCUGUACUGACGCUCAUGCACGAAAGCGUGGGGAGCAAACAGG
rnacentral:rRNA from 1 species